rnacentral:rRNA from 1 species
UACGUAGGGGGCGAGCGUUGUCCGGAAUCAUUGGGCGUAAAGCGCGUGUAGGCGGCCCGGUAAGUCCGCUGUGAAAGUCCAGGGCUCAACCCUGGGAUGCCGGUGGAUACUGUCGGGCUCGAGUCCGGAAGAGGCGAGUGGAAUUCCUGGUGUAGCGGUGAAAUGCGCAGAUAUCAGGAGGAACACCAAUGGCGAAGGCAGCUCGCUGGGACGUGACUGACGCUGAGAACGCGAAAGCGUGGGGGAGCAAACAGG